rnacentral:rRNA from 1 species
UACGAAGGGGGCUAGCGUUGCUCGGAAUCACUGGGCGUAAAGCGCACGUAGGCGGAUCUUUAAGUCAGGGGUGAAAUCCUGGAGCUCAACUCCAGAACUGCCUUUGAUACUGAGGAUCUCGAGUCCGGGAGAGGUGAGUGGAACUGCGAGUGUAGAGGUGAAAUUCGUAGAUAUUGGGAAGAACACCAGUGGCGAAGGCGGCUCACUGGCCCGUAACUGACGCUGAGGUGCGAAAGCGUGGGGAGCAAACAGG